UACGUAGGGUGCAAGCGUUGUCCGGAAUUAUUGGGCGUAAAGAGCUCGUAGGCGGUCUGUCGCGUCUGCUGUGAAAAUCCAGGGCUCAACCCUGGACCUGCGGUGGGUACGGGCAGACUAGAGUGAUGUAGGGGAGACUGGAAUUCCUGGUGUAGCGGUGAAAUGCGCAGAUAUCAGGAGGAACACCGAUGGCGAAGGCAGGUCUCUGGGCAUUAACUGACGCUGAGGAGCGAAAGCAUGGGGAGCGAACAGG
rnacentral:rRNA from 1 species